rnacentral:rRNA from 1 species
CCUAUGAACGCUGGCGGCAUGCCUAACACAUGCAAGUCGAACGGUAACAGGCCUUCGGGCGCUGACGAGUGGCGAACGGGUGAGUAACGCGUAGGAAUAUACCUUUUUGUGGGGGACAACUCGGGGAAACUCGAGCUAAUACCGCAUGUGCUCUUUGGAGUAAAGCUGGGGACCUUCGGGCCUGGUGCAAAAAGAUUAGCCUGCGUCCGAUUAGCUAGUUGGUAGGGUAAAGGCCUACCAAGGCGACGAUCGGUAGCUGGUCUGAGAGGAUGAUCAGCCACACUGGGACUGAGACACGGCCCAAACUCCUACGGGAGGCAGCAGUGGGGAAUAUUGGACAAUGGGCGCAAGCCUGAUCCAGCAAUGCCGCGUGUGUGAAGAAGGCCUGAGGGUUGUAAAGCACUUUCAGUGGGGAGGAAGGCUCAAGCUUUAAUAGAGUUUGGGAUUGACGUUACCUACAGAAGAAGCACCGGCUAACUCCGUGCCAGCAGCCGCGGUAAUACGGGGGCUGCAAGCGUUAAUCGGAAUUACUGGGCGUAAAGCGUGCGUAGGUGGUUCUGCAAGUUGGCUGUGAAAGCCCCGGGCUCAACCUGGGAUGGUCAGUCAAAACUGCAAGACUAGAGUACAAUAGAGGGGUGUGGAAUUUCCGGUGUAGCGGUGAAAUGCGUAGAGAUCGGAAGGAACACCAGUGGCGAAGGCGCACCCUGGAUUGAUACUGACACUGAGGUACGAAAGCGUGGGGAGCAAACAGGAUUAGAUACCCUGUAGUCACGCCGUA